rnacentral:lncRNA from 1 species
GUUUAGCCAAAACAUAAUUGUGACUUGAUUUCAUUUUUAGAUGCUAUUUCAGAAAACCUAUAUAAUUUUUCAAAGUUAUAUGUUGCCAUCUGUUCCUGUCAUUAAUAAUCUUAAGAGCUUUUCCAUGUAUAUAAAGACAUAAGGGGAAAAAAACUAGCCUAUUUACCAAAAUCUUUAUUUGCAUAAUAUGAAAAUUGUUUUUUUGAGAUGAGACUUGUCAAAGGCAAUAUGCAAAGCACAUUAAGGGCCUGAGCGAGUCAGACAUUUAUGGAAAUAUUUUCCUGCAGGAAUUGGCUUUCUGUAACAGUUCUUAAUCAAGGGUAACCCUAGGAGGGAGACAGAGUCAAGUGCUGAUUCCUGUCCAUGUACUUAAAUCAUUUGUUAUGUACAUUAUCCACAGUUCCGAGCAGAUAUUAUUCAGACGACUCCUACAUUUUGAAGACUCUGAUAGCCUCC